GAUGAACGCUGGCGGCGUGCCUAACACAUGCAAGUCGAACGGAGUUAUAUGAAGUUUUCGGACGAAUUAUAACUUAGUGGCGGACGGGUGAGUAACGCGUGGGUAACCUGCCUCAUACAGGGGGAUAACAGUUGGAAACGGCUGCUAAAACCGCAUAAGAUUGUGAUGCCGCAUGGCAAUGCAAUUAAAUAUUUAUAGGUAUGAGAUGGGCCCGCGUCUGAUUAGCUAGUUGGUGGGGUAAUGGCCUACCAAGGCGACGAUCAGUAGCCGGCUUGAGAGAGUGACCGGCCACAUUGGGACUGAGACACGGCCCAAACUCCUACGGGAGGCAGCAGUGGGGAAUAUUGCACAAUGGGGGAAACCCUGAUGCAGCGACGCCGCGUGAGUGAAGAAGUAUUUCGGUAUGUAAAGCUCUAUCAGCAGGGAAGAAAAUGACGGUACCUGACUAAGAAGCCCCGGCUAACUACGUGCCAGCAGCCGCAGUAACAC
rnacentral:rRNA from 1 species